UACGAAGGGGGCUAGCGUUGCUCGAAAUCACUGGGCGUAAAGGGUGCGUAGGCGGGUCUUUAAGUCAGGGGUGAAAUCCUGGAGCUCAACUCCAGAACUGCCUUUGAUACUGGGAAUCUCGAGUCCGGAAGAGGUGAGUGGAACUGCGAGUGUAGAGGUGAAAUUCGUAGAUAUUCGCAAGAACACCAGUGGCGAAGGCGGCUCACUGGUCCGGUACUGACGCUGAGGUGCGAAAGCGUGGGGAGCAAACAGG
rnacentral:rRNA from 1 species